rnacentral:lncRNA from 1 species
AGUCCUCUGUUUCUUCUGGGAAAUGGCAAAUAGUUGGUGUCGUAAAAAUCUUUCCUCAUUUCUCCAGUUUUUGGUGGUUGUAGCAGAUCUUCUGCUUCAAUUGGGCUUUCUUCUUCUAUCACUGCUGGUUGCACUUGUGCUGAUGUUCUUUGAUUCUCUUUUGGGUAUGGGGGAUCUCUGGUGGCUCUGCCUCCUCUAGUGGUU